GUGCAUUCAGUCUUCAACAUGUAAUGACAGAGUCGAACAAACAUUUUUGUAAUAAAUUCGCUGUUGAGUGAAAUUUUUCUUUCAUUCAUCACAGGAGUUGUCCUGAAUCUCAGCAUCUGUUGUAUUUGUUUUCUCUCACUUGUAGUUGGCUUGGCUUACGCCACUAUAUUUCUAAACGGACAGCCAAUUACUGAUAUGAAAAAUCGUAAGAAUAAUAUCAAACGAAGAUCCAUACAAUGUGAAUUGAAGAAACUGGUUACAUUACAACGAACGAGUGAAUGAUUAGUUAAAAACAGUCUAAGAAAUGUAUGGAUGCUGAGUCGUUUACGACACAUGUAAAAAAGUGCGCCAAAUAUAAUUUUUUUAAAAAAAUCUGCCGAAUUUAUGUCGUUGAUAGCAAGCAUAAA